rnacentral:rRNA from 1 species
AACGAACGCUGGCGGCGUGCUUAACACAUGCAAGUCGAGCGAGAAAGGGAGGGGCAACUCUCCUGAGUAAAGCGGCGCACGGGUGAGUAACGCGUGGGUAACCUACCUUCAGGCGGGGGAUAACUACUCGAAAGGGUGGCUAAUACCGCAUGAGACCACGGGGUCUUCGGAUCCUGAGGCCAAAGGCUGCAUCGGCUUGCCGGUGUAGUCACCAGGAGAUGGGCCCGCGUCCGAUUAGCUAGUUGGUGAGGUAAUGGCUCACCAAGGCUUCGAUCGGUAGCUGGUCUGAGAGGAUGAUCAGCCACACUGGAACUGAAACACGGUCCAGACUCCUACGGGAGGCAG